rnacentral:rRNA from 1 species
UGAGGAAUCUUGCGCAAUGGACGAAAGUCUGACGCAGCGACGCCGCGUGGAGGAUGAAGGUCUUAGGAUUGUAAACUUCUGUUAAGUGGGAAGAAACGCAUCUCUCUAAUACAGAGAUGAACUGACGGUACCAUUAGAGAAAGCACCGGCUAACUUCGUGCCAGCAGCCGCGGUAAUACGAAGGGUGCGAACGUUAUUCGGAAUAAUUGGGCGUAAAGGGUGCGUAGGCGGUAUAUUAAGUCAACUGUUAAAUUCAUCGGCCUAACCGAUGAUCUGCAGUAGAUACUGGUAUGCUAGAGUAUGGAAGAGAGAAGUGGAAUUCUCGGAGUAGCGGUAAAAUGCGUAGAUCUCGAGAGGAACACCGAUGGCGAAGGCAGCUUCUUGGUCCAUUACUGACGCUGAUGCACGAAAGCGUGGGGAGCAAACAGG